GCCAAACCAGCAAGAAGAGAGAGAAAAUAAAAACCAAACCCUAGAGAGAGAAAAUCAAAGAAAAAGUGUGAAUUUUCAAGGAAAUUAAGUGAAAAAGGUGAGAUUUUUUCUAUUAAGCUUGAGUUGUCUUAUUCCCAAGCAUUUAUCCUUAUUUUUCAUGAUUAAAUUGCAUGUUUUCAUGGUGAUUUUAUGGCUGGUCAUAUGGGUCUAGAGAGAGAAAAUUGUUGGAUUGAUUUGAUUUUGAUAUAUGUUAGUGUUUAGUGUUAGUUUAGCAUGUUAGUAAAGAAAAUAUGUAGAAAAAUAUUCAUUUUUCCCAUUACCUAGCCUUAGCUGAAUUUUCAAGUCAAUGGUGAGGAAGAAUGUGAUGUUAUUUUAGGUUAUUUGAUUAUGAAAUCAUGGUUUUUGAUAUGGAAAUUAAUGAAUUAUGGAAAGAAAAUCAAGUAGGAAAAAUUAUGACAAUGAUGCACCAUUUUGGCCGAAUUUUUCCAAGAAGGAAUAUGAAUGUGGCUUUGCGGAUUUUUGGGUUAUUUGGCUGGACAUUGGUGAUUUGAAGCAUUAGAAAAAGAAAUGGGAUCAAUUGGAGCUAAAUUGGAUGCGUAUUUCAAUUUUUCAGGUAAAAGAUCGAAAUAGGUCAAUACGGUGUUUAGGUAAAAUUUAGACCUUUUGCAUUCCAUAUCAUGCAUUAGUAGUCUAAAUUAGUUUAAUUUCAAUUUAGUACCAAUGUGGUGAAUUUCUCGAUUUUGUACUGUGUCAAGGUGGCGAGUCCUCCAAUAAAGGCAAGGGAAUUGCAUCUGAGGACCGGUAGUUUGAGUAUUUCGAAAAUCCCCACUCUAGACAUUGUGAGUAACCUUACCAUCAUUUUUAUUAUCUAAAGUAUAUUUUCAAUCAAUUUUAAUGAAAUUUUUUGAAAAUGAAAUUAAAUGGUAAAUCUUGAGUUUUACAAACAAAAUGUGUCUACAUGAAAAGAUUUUAUAAAUUGUUUUAAAAUUGAAUGAUGAUUUUGAAAAAUAGAGUAAUUGGAGACCACUUGUUAUGAAUUAAGUUUAUGAUUUGAAUCGAAUGGCUUAUGACAAUAUUUGCAUGAAUGGCUGAAUUGAUGUUUGUGUUAAAAUUUAUGAAAUGUGUAUUUAGCCUUGAAAGGCUGUGAAUUAUAAUAAUUGCCAUGUCAUGCUAGAAUGAAUUUUAUUGAUUGGUGGAUUAUAUAUUAAUUAAUCACUACAGUAGGGGGUUUCUGUGGACCAGCCUUUUAGAGGGCAUGAUAAACCUUAUUAUAUUCUUACCUCGAACGGAGAGGCACGUAGGGUAUCUCUUGGGAUAAAGCUUAGGGUUCACUUCACGCCAAACCACCACGUGAAGGGGAACUCAGCCAACGCUAAGGAAUGAUUGUGUUUUUCAAACUAAAGAUAUGUUUUAAGUGUAUACGAAAUUUUAACAGCCUUGACGGGAUCGAGUGUACACCUCUGAUCAAGGUGUCACCGAGUACUAUUUGAUGGCAUGAGCUAAAUGUUUAUGGAAAUCAUAAGCCUUAAUGAGAAAUUAAAUGAAAUACAACCGUUUGCAUGGGUUGGGAUGAAUUUUCAAAAUGAGAAAUACAUAAUAUGAUGGGAUAUUUUAUUUGUCUCCUUUUACUCGGCUUUAGUUGAUUUAAAUGGUGUUUGUUUACUCACUGGGAUUUUAUAAUCUCACCACCCUCCUUUCCACCCAUUUCAGGAUCAAAGUAGUCUGUAGAUAGCUGGUUCCAUCGGGGAUUUCCAUUGGAUUGCGUCUUCCAAAACUGUAGGUUCACAACUUCUUUAAUUCUAGUUAUUGUGGGCCCACUUGAUAUUGUAAAUUUAAUAGUUUAUUGUGCUACAGUAUGAAUGAAUUUAUUUUGUUUUUACCUUACAAAAAGUAUUUACGCAUAACUCCAAAAUUUCUGUUUAUAAGAAAAUAAAAUAUUUUAUUGAAUAUAUUGUUUUA
rnacentral:lncRNA from 1 species